rnacentral:rRNA from 1 species
UACGUAGGGUGCGAGCGUUGUCCGGAUUUAUUGGGCGUAAAGGGCUCGUAGGCGGCCUGUCGCGUCGGGAGUGAAAGCCCACUGCUUAACGGUGGGUCUGCUUCCGGUACGGGCGGGCUGGAGUAUGGCAGGGGAGACUGGAAUUCCAGGUGUAGCGGUGAAAUGCGUAGAUAUCUGGAGGAACACCGGUGGCGAAGGCGGCAUCCUGGACCGACAUUGACGCUGAGGCGCGAAAGCCAGGGGAGCAAACGGG